CCAUCCUAAAGGUGAAACCAAUGAGGCAAGAAGCCGUGGCGGGGAGUAACCAGAGUAGAGGCGCUGUUUAAGGGAAAAAGUAUCCAGAUUACCAUGUUAAUAGUGACAGAAGAACAUAUUAUUUAAGAAUAAUCUAGUAUAUAGUAAGCCAAUAUGACCAUAUUUUGUUGUGUACGUGAUUGAAGGGAAUAUUUUGAAAAAAGCAAAUUUAUGAAAAAUGAAUGAUAAUAUAUCUGAUGUGAUGGUAGAUAAAUUCAAGAUACUUAUUUUGUAUGCACUUAGAAAUAUAAAAGUAGCAGAUAUAAGAAAAAUAAUAUUAGAAAAAGCUUUUGGUAAAAAUUAUAUGUCUAGAAUAAGCUAUAUACCACAAAUACCUAACGACUCUUAUAAAUACUUAAGGUGAUAAGUUACAUAAAAAAAAAAAGAAGAUAAAAACAAAAACUUUUGCAGUUACUAGAAAAAAUAAAAAUAAACACAUGGAAAACAAAGAUAUAAAAUUUCUUAAUAAAAAUAUGCAAAAACUACUAA
rnacentral:lncRNA from 1 species